AAAAAAGAAAAGGGAACCAGGAUUGCACUGGACAGUGCAUUCAUUAUUGACAGUUAGUGCCCAGGCACCUUGACUUGUGCUGUGCCUUCCUUCAAAAGUGAGUGAAAAAGAUGGGGUGCCUGGGUGGCUCAGUCACUGAAGUGUCGGCUCUUGAUUUCAGCUCAGGCUGUGAUCUCAGGGUGGCAGGAUCAAGCCCUAUGUCAGGCUCUGCCCUGGGCAUGGAGUCUGCUUAAGAUUCUCCCUCUCCCUCUGUCCCUCCCCCCAGCUCUCUCUCUUUCUCCCCCUCUCUAAAACAACAACAAAAAAGUGAGUGAAAAAGAAAUUAUAAUAAUAAACCUUUAUACGGUGUUUAAUGAUUGUCAUGUCUUGUUCUUUAUAUAAUCCCUGUAACAACCUUGUAGAGUGAGUGCUAAUGUUAUAUUCUCAUUUUUGCAGAUGAGAACAGUUAAGGCACAAGAACACAGAGGCAAAGUCUGGUUACAGAGUACUUGGUCAGAGCCACUACACUCUAUUUCCUCAUAACCUGUACUCCCUCUCCACUGUGAGUCUACUGAAGCAGGGUGCAUGUGUCUGUGUGUUGGGUGUCAGAGGGCACUGGCAAGAAGGCAGGGGUGCCUUUGGGGGAGUGUGUCUACCAGUGUCUGCAUCACCUGGAGUCCUGCCACAAAUGCAGAGAGACUUCUCCUAGAAGUGUUAACCAGCUGGACCUCUGUUUAACAACUUCUGUGAAGUAUUGUACUCUGAAAGCCUGCUUGAUGGAUGGAGCUGUCAGCA
ensembl:lncRNA